GAUGAACGCUGGCGGCGUGCCUAAUACAUGCAAGUCGAGCGAACGGACGAGAAGCUUGCUUCUCUGAUGUUAGCGGCGGACGGGUGAGUAACACGUGGAUAACCUACCUAUAAGACUGGGAUAACUUCGGGAAACCGGAGCUAAUACCGGAUAAUAUUUUGAACCGCAUGGUUCAAAAGUGAAAGACGGUCUUGCUGUCACUUAUAGAUGGAUCCGCGCUGCAUUAGCUAGUUGGUAAGGUAACGGCUUACCAAGGCAACGAUGCAUAGCCGACCUGAGAGGGUGAUCGGCCCCACUGGAACUGAGACACGGUCCAGACUCCUACGGGAGGCAGCAGUAGGGAAUCUUCCGCGAUGGGCGAAAGCCUGACGGAGCAACGCCGCGUGAGUGAUGAAGGUCUUCGGAUCGUAAAACUCUGUUAUUAGGGAAGAACAUAUGUGUAAGUAACUGUGCACAUCUUGACGGUACCUAAUCAGAAAGCCACGGCUAACUACGUG
rnacentral:rRNA from 1 species